UAAUCAUGUUAAUAAUGAUAAUUAUAUACUACUUACUAAAAGUUAAUUAUAUCCUUAAUUUGAUCCCUAGCAUAGAUUAUAACUAGAAGAUAACGUAUACUUGAAAUUUUGUUUGUAUAUGAAGACUUAUAAUAAGAGUUUAUUGUACUCUAAAAUAAUAAUUGAAUUAUUUUGAAACUAUUUAUGAGCUUAAAAGCAAAUAUAAUAUUACCUUCAAUAGUAAACAGUGUAUAUCUUUAGUACGUUAAAUGUUAGCUCAUAAACAGUAUAGGUAGAUUUAAUGUCAGUGAAAUGUAAAAGAACUUUAUCAGUUUAAAAAUGAUAGCAUUUGAGCGGUUUUUUGCACGCGACCAGCAAUUUAAUGUGCAUAUUUUAUGUCCGUUAUAAAAUGGGCAGAUCAGAAUAAGGUAAAAUAAUGUUCACAAUGGUAUACACAUGUGAAUACUUUUGUCUUUACUUGUGCCCGCAAAAAUUCAUGCCAUCGAUAAGAUCUAUGCUUUGCGAAAUAAAAUAAUAUAGAUAAAAAAAUUAUGUAGUUUAUUCACAUAAGACGUCUUAGAUACUGUUUUUCUUUUUACUAGUACAAGUUACUUCUAUUGUUUACAAAUAACAGAAGUAAUCGAAAAUUAUUAAGAAUUUAUUAAGGUUUUUGUUCUAAGAAAAUUCAUAUAAAAAGUGUGAGGUUGAGGUUCAAUAACGUCUUCAACCGUGUCAGUUUUAACCUUUAAAUAGACACAACCGAAGGAGAAGUUCUACUUCUAAUAUAAUAAAAAAAGUAUAUAUAUCAUAGUUGAAUUUAUGGUAAAGUCAUAUGCAAAAUUUUGUCGCACAUAUUUUUUCUUAUAUUUAAUUAAA